AGUAUCGUUGUAGCAAAUGACAAAACAUAUCAUCUCCAUCAUCGCACUAGUGCAUUCGAUCUGCUGUAGGUCCACGGGGCAGCCCCACUCUCCCUUAUCUUCUCUUGCUCUGCCUUAUCUUCUCCCACGAUGAAUUUCUCCCAAAUCCUUUCUCUCAUCCACCUCGUCACCACCUCAAAAUCCAUCUCUCUCUUGCUCCCUCACAAAAUCCGACGAGCUCCAGCCGGCCGUUCUCCUCUUUCCUCUUGGAUCCCCAUCCCCCUCCGGCGACGAGCUCCACACACGCCGCAGCCGCUGCAUCCCCAUCGGCUUUCUCCCCGGCAGUACAUACGGCUGCAGCUCGCACUGCUGCAAGGGGGCGGGGCCGAGAAGGAGCGGAGUCGCUGUUGUGAGGUUGCUGCUGCUAGCCAUGAACGCCAUGGCCGCCGCCUCCCCCUCAUCUGGUCGUGGCGCUGGAGCAGGCGGUGGAAACGAUGGCCUCCGGUGCUACAACCGAAAGAAUUGCAGUUGGCACGAGCAGGAUUUUCGCUUGGCAUUCAAAAAUUGGGAGCCAUUAUGUCAUUGUUUGAUUACAAAAAUUGGAAUAUGGGAGGAUGUAUAUGUCUCCUAAAUCAAGAUUAAUCAAUUAGAUCUCCGGGAUAAAAGUGGAUAGAAAAAGAUGCUUUUGGUCCUGCAGGUGAUAUAAAGUCUUACAAGAUAUUUCUAAUGCUUCAGAAAAAAACAUUUUAUCAAGAAUGACAUGUAUAAGGAAGCCCUCCGUGUGCUGAUGAUGCUCGAGGUAUGCUGCCUUUGUCCUACUAUAAGAAGAUAUGCAUAUUGACCAAGAACAAUUUGAGAGCUUUAAAUGUUCCUACAGAGGUUAAAUAGUUAGCAACUUAAUACAGUAAGAAUCAUCCACAACUUUGCAUCUAUGAGUGUUAAACAGAAACUUGGAGGUACAUGUAUAUAGAUUAUGUGAGUUUGAUGUACUUUAUAUUUCACAUAUACACAUAUGGAUCACUAUCUUUUAUGUUUAUAGUAAAGGCCCCAUGUUCUAGUUUCGCCCCGGGCCCCUAAAAUGUCAGGACCGCCCCUGUCGAUGGCUAGUCAAUCACACCGCUUGCUCAGGGGCAUCCAUUGCUGCAGGAAACCAUAGAUUUUGAAGAUAGCACUAGUGGCAUGCGUGGGAAAAGAGUGUUCACUACGUUGUUUCCAGUACACCACAACGUCCUUGCCAAGGCCCCGAAGUUCACCCACAUCAACUUUUGGGCCUGGUAAUUGCACGAAGCUGGCCCCUGGUAGACAUUAGGGAAGUUGGAAGGGCACCACCCAUUCCCCCAAACUUCCCUAACACAACGCCAAAGAAAAUGAGUUGAGGCACAUGAAAAAACAAGAGAUACUAUUCAUGUCCUCAUCGUUGCAAAUAUGUCUUAGAGGCAAUAAUAAAGUUGUUAUUAUCAUAUUUCUUGUUCUUGAUAAAUGUUUAUUCUCAAUGUUAUAAUUUGUCGGCGUUCCGGGAUCGGGGUCCCCAGACUUGCCUGCCUGCGGCCCACGGCGUGGCUCCACUCACGAGGGGCCAAGCCUCGCGAGGCGGACGACACAAGACCUCCUCGGGGGCAGCCUCACCAAGCUGGCUCGCGAGGGGCGGAGAGAUCAAGGCAAGGCGAACCUCGCGAGGUUCCAAUGACGUAAGCCAUGACGACCAAGACCAGGCGGGCGCCAGCGCGCGUAGUGUCCUCGUUUCCUCUUUGGUGCUAAGGAGGCAAGCGCAGGCGGGAAGUACCGAGGCAUCAGGCAAAUAUUUCCAUAUAGGUGCAACGAGACCAAGACCAGCAGGACGGCAGGACGGAGGUCACCGUGGAGCCCAAGACGGCGUCACCAUCAGAGCCUUUGGCAGGCGAAGACCACCUUUAGUCAGGAUAGAUUGUACUAGCUGCCCCCUUAAAAUUGGCCGUUGUUGGCUCCCUUCCCGCUCAAUAUUUGGGAAGAGGACCAGGGCAUCUAUAAAUAGGACUACCCACCACAGUAGGAGGCAACUCAUCUGAACGGAUCACAACAGAGCCUCAGGAGAUUCAGAUCAUCCUCACACCCACCAAGCACAAGAACACCUUGCCUCAGGAGGCUGUUCUUCCCCUUGUAUUGUUCAUCCUCAGCCCAAGAGGCAAUCCACGACACCACACUGGA